rnacentral:rRNA from 1 species
UACAGAGGGCGCGAGCGUUGUCCGGAAUCACUGGGCGUAAAGGGCGCGUAGGUGGCAACUAUAAGGCCGCGGUGAAAGUUCGGGGCUCAACCCUGAAUCUGCCGCGGCGACUGUAGGGCUAGGGCACCGUAGAGGCAGAUGGAAUUCCGGGUGUAGCGGUGGAAUGCGUAGAGAUCCGGAAGAACACCGGUGGCGAAGGCGGUUCUCUGGGCAUGUCCUGACGCUGAGGAGCGAAAGUGUGGGGAGCGAACAGG